UACAGGGGGGGCAAGCGUUGUUCGGAAUUACUGGGCGUAAAGGGCUCGUAGGUGGCCGACUAAGUCGGACGUGAAAUCCCUCAGCUUAACUGGGGAACUGCGUCCGAUACUGGAUGGCUUGAGUUUGGGAGAGGGAUGCGGAAUUCCAGGUGUAGCGGUGAAAUGCGUAGAUAUCUGGAGGAACACCGGUGGCGAAGGCGGCAUCCUGGACCAACACUGACACUGAGGAGCGAAAGCCAGGGGAGCAAACGGG
rnacentral:rRNA from 1 species